ACUCAAAGGAAUAGACGGGGGCUCACACAAGCGGUGGAGCAUGUGGCUUAAUUCGAAGCAACGCGAAGAACCUGACCUGGGUUUGACAUGCAAGGAUUAGUUCUGUGAAAGCAGAAUGACGCGGCUUGCCGUGGAACUUGCACAGGUGCUGCAUGGCUGUCGUCAGCUCGUGUCGUGAGAUGUCGGGUUAAGUCCCCUAACGAGCGAAACCCUUGUCGCUAGUUGCUAACGGGUAAUGCUGAGCACUUUAGCGAGACUGCCGGUGUUAAACCGGAGGAAGGUGGGGAUGACGUCAAGUCCUCAUGGCCUUUAUGCCCAGGGCUGCACACGUGCUACAAUGGGAUGGUACAAAGCGAUGCGAAGCCGCGAGGCGGAGCAAAUCGCAGAAAACUUCCCUCAGUUCGGAUUGCAGGCUGCAACUCGCCUGCAUGAAGCUGGAAUCGCUAGUAAUCGCGCAUCAGCUAUGGCGCGGUGAAUAUGUUCCUGAGCCUUGUACACACCGCCCGU
rnacentral:rRNA from 1 species